rnacentral:misc_RNA from 1 species
AAGUCGUAACAAGGUUUCCGUAGGUGAACCUGCGGAAGGAUCAUUAACAAACACAACAAACACUUGGCUGGAGCGUGUUUUGCUUUGUUUUUCUUUUCUUUAGCAAUAAAGCAAAAUAAAGUGAAGCAAGGUGCGCGCUGUGCCAUCAACCUUUGUGAAUCGGGCGCAUGGUCGGCAGCAGUUCAGCAAUGAGCUAUUGCUGCCUUGCGCUUAGUCGGGAAUGCAAUGGAAUAGAAAAGAAUAGAGUAGAAAAGAAUAGAAAAGAAUGGAAUGUAUUUCAUUAUAUAAUAUUAUAUUAUGCAAUGCAUUUAUUCUGCUUUAUUCUAUUUUGUUUUGUUUUAUUUUAUUUAUUCAAGUCUGAAUUCUUUGUCGAAAGACUAAGCAACAAUACAAUGCAAUACAACUUUUAACAAUGGAUCUCUAGGCUCUU